UACGUAGGGUGCAAGCGUUAAUCGGAAUUACUGGGCGUAAAGCGUGCGCAGGCGGUGAUGCAAGACAGAUGUGAAAUCCCCGGGCUUAACCUGGGAACUGCAUUUGAGACUGCAUUGCUGGAGUGCGGCAGAGGGGGAUGGAAUUCCGCGUGUAGCAGUGAAAUGCGUAGAUAUGCGGAGGAACACCGAUGGCGAAGGCAAUCCCCUGGGCAUGCACUGACGCUCAUGCACGAAAGCGUGGGGAGCAAACAGG
rnacentral:rRNA from 1 species